AUGACUCCACUACAAACAAAUGUUCACCGCUGCUACCGCCCAUCUCUCUCACCAUCAUAUCAGGCAGGCAGGCGGGCAGCCUACAGACUCAUCUCUUUCCACUACUGUUCUAGACAGCGUGCGGCAUGCAGCAAGCAUUUCGUUUCCCUGUCUAAUUUUGGGAAUUUUAUGCCUACCACUCUUGUACACUUAACCCAUCCAUUUAUCUCUGCUAAUUCUCCACUUGGGUGCAAACUGUUAUAUAUAUAUAUAUGCAAAAAUAAACUGUUAUAUAUCCCAUAUGUUUAG
rnacentral:rRNA from 1 species